GCAAGUGGGCCUAUUGUGAGGUAAGAAUAGUUCUAGAAGACAAACCUUCACUGGAAUCACUGGGAAAAAGCCAACAAUUCAUGGAAUGUGUUUCAUGACCCCUAAGUAAACCCACUAAAUGCACACAUGAAUCAUCUUCUUGCUUGGCCAGAUCCUGUAAAGACCCCAUAUAUUAUGGAAAGAAUAAAGAUUAAAAAUUACUACAAAACAUUAGGAGAAGUCUUUUUGUGGCUACCAAUGGAAAUGAUUGAUGAAGUCAACAAAGAAUGAAAAGUCUGUCAAGCCAAAGAAACUCAGGACACCAUUACCUGGGGGUUAGGCACUGUCGACCAUAAUACCGUAUACUAUUUUGGUCAUUGUGCCACAGUCAUCAUAUUUGUUUUGGUUGCGUUUCUUAAUUUACCAUUGGGACUAAUAUGGUAGUCCUGGCCAUACACUGCCAACAGGACACGAUGUCAAUUUAAGGCAUAGAAAUAUUUAACAUGAUGUCCUCUAAACAGAAUGGUUUGAACAGUCAGAAACAUGUGACCUGGCCAAUAUUAUCUUUGAAAAGACAGUGAAGAUAGUUUGAUGAUUGAUUAACUGGAAAUAAGAUGGAGGAAGAGACUGAUCACAGUGAUGGGAUGCUACCGCAGUCACCAAAAUAAAGGAUUGCAAGUUCCAAAUUUAACACUGUGGAGGUGGGAAUAGAGUGGUUAGAUGGGAAAGUCAUGUUCACACAUGAGAAAUUAGAGAAUUUAUUGAAUUUGCAUAAUAAAGGAAGAGAAUCACAAGCCUUCUAUUUUGAGUGAACAUGUUACUGAGUAACAAGAAAUGUACUUUCCUGGAGAAUAACUGAUUUUUUAAAUUUGGGGUGGAGAAAACAUCCCAUGGAAUACAGUAACUGGAGUACUACUGCUUUGGUUAAAACUCUCACUCCAUCACUUUCCUGUGUGGUCUUGAGAACAUUACCCAACUCCCCCACAUCUCUGUUUGCUUAUCUGUGAUUAGAAAAUCAUAGCAGCACCAGUCACAAGUUGUUAUGAA